UAUUACUAAGUAUAUGGUAUACAUAGACCUUUGAAGUCUAUACAAUAAGUUCAACUCUUAUAGUAAUAA
rnacentral:tRNA from 1 species